rnacentral:lncRNA from 10 species
GAACUUUCUCAGGCGGGACUCAGAGAUAUCCAGUUAAAAGGUAGCUAGAGAAAUGCCAAGAUCGAGAAGAACUGAGCAAGCUGUUGCUGGCUCUGAAAAGCAGGGCUCAACAUGACAGACCAGACAUAGGCUCUAGGAGUUAAAGGCUGCCCCCAGCUCACAGCCAGCAAGGAAACAGGGACCUCAGAAUGACAACUAAAAAGCAGUGGAUCCUGCCAACAACUUAAAUCAGCUUGGAAGCUGAUUCUUCCCAGAGUCUCCUGGCAAGUACCCAGCUGGUUAACAUCUCAAUGACGACCUCGUGAAACCUGGAGCAGAGAAAUCAGCUGAGUCAAUCUGACCUCCCAGCUACAGAGCGAACUUCCAACAUUAUUUUGAAUAAGUGAUAAGGGGUGACAUCCUUGACUUGCUCCCCAGCAUAAGGAAAAAGUGUUUAGUAUCACCAUUAAGAAUGAUGUUGGCUGCAGAUUUUUAAUAUUUUGGGUCAAG